GUCCGGGUAGCUGUAGUUUACUUGAGAAAAAACACAGGGUGUUCUUCGGCUUAGUUAUUUUUCUUUUAAAAAAAGUUCAAAUUUAGGAUCGGACACCCUACCCCACUGCCUUACGCAAAAGUUAAUAACAAAUGGUGUACGACAACAAUUUUGUCAGCACAAGGUGCAAAGGGAAGCUGGGUAGCUUAUUUCUACUUGAGAAAUAAUCCAGGGUGUUCUUCGGCUUAGUUAUUUU
rnacentral:lncRNA from 1 species